rnacentral:rRNA from 1 species
CCAGUGGCGAAGGCGACUCUCUGGUCUGUAACUGACGCUGAGGAGCGAAAGCGUGGGGAGCGAACAGGAUUAGAUACCCUGGUAGUCCACGCCGUAAACGAUGAGUGCUAAGUGUUAGGGGGUUUCCGCCCCUUAGUGCUGCAGCUAACGCAUUAAGCACUCCGCCUGGGGAGUACGGUCGCAAGACUGAAACUCAAAGGAAUUGACGGGGGCCCGCACAAGCGGUGGAGCAUGUGGUUUAAUUCGAAGCAACGCGAAGAACCUUACCAGGUCUUGACAUCCUCUGACAAUCCUAGAGAUAGGACGUCCCCUUCGGGGGCAGAGUGACAGGUGGUGCAUGGUUGUCGUCAGCUCGUGUCGUGAGAUGUUGGGUUAAGUCCCGCAACGAGCGCAACCCUUGAUUUUAGUUGCCAGCAUUCAGUUGGGCACUCUAAGGUGACUGCCGGUGACAAACCGGAGGAAGGUGGGGAUGACGUCAAAUCAUCAUGCCCCUUAUGACCUGGGCUACACACGUGCUCCAAUGGACAGAACAAAGGGCAGCGAAACCGCGAGGUUAAGCCAAUCCCACAAAUCUGUUCUCAGUUCGGAUUGCAGUCUGCAACUCGACGC